AUCAACUUUCGAUGGUAGGAUAGAGGCCUACCAUGGUGGUGACGGGUGACGGAGAAUUAGGGUUCGAUUCCGGAGAGGGAGCCUGAGAAACGGCUACCACAUCCAAGGAAGGCAGCAGGCGCGCAAAUUACCCAACCCUGACACGGGGAGGUAGUGACAAUAAAUAACAAUACCGGGCUCUAUGAGUCUGGUAAUUGGAAUGAGUACAAUUUAAAUCUCUUAACGAGGAACAAUUGGAGGGCAAGUCUGGUGCCAGCAGCCGCGGUAAUUCCAGCUCCAAUAGCGUAUAUUAAAGUUGUUGCAGCUAAAAAGCUCGUAGUUGAAUUUCGGGGUUAGUAGGUUGGUCAUGCCUCUGGUAUGUACUGGUCUCACUGAUUCCUCCUUCCUGAUGAACCGUAAUGCCAUUAAUUUGGUGUUGCGGGGAAUUUGGACUGUUACUUUGAAAAAAUUAGAGUGUUUAAAGCAAGCUAACGCUUGAAUACAUUAGCAUGGAAUAAUGAAAUAGGACGUUCGAUCCUAUUUUGUUGGUUUCUAGGAUUGACGUAAUGAUUAAUAGGGAUAGUUGGGGGCAUUAGUAUUCAAUUGUCAGAGGUGAAAUUCUUGGAUUUAUUGAAGACUAACUACUGCGAAAGCAUUUGCCAAGGAUGUUUUCAUUAAUCAAGAACGAAAGUUAGGGGAUCGAAGACGAUCAGAUACCGUCGUAGUCUUAACCAUAAACUAUGCCGACUAGGGAUCGGAUGAUGUUAAUUUUUUAAUGACUCAUUCGGCGCCUUACGGGAAACCAAAGUGUUUGGGUUC
rnacentral:rRNA from 1 species